GUAUUAUAUAUAAACUCAGAAUAAAUACAUUUUCUGUUCACCCAUACCUGUGGCUGAUGACUGUUUCAAUCGGGAAAGUUACUUUUUAAUGUAGCAGGUUUCAUUCCGAUAUAUCUCAACCGCUCGUUUCAUGUUUAUUAAUUUAGCAGCUGGGAUGAUGGUAUAUACCUUGUAAAUAAAGUGCCUAACAUACUUUUAUUGGUUUUUGUGAAUUAGCUGAGCGCGUUAGUGAAGUAAAUUCCCUUAAUUAUGAAAAGUACUUCUAUUAUUCCUUAUUGGCAUUAUUCUUUUAAUUGGAAACGGAAAACUGAAGAAUUGUAUUACUGUUUAUAGCAUUUUCGGUACUUUCUGGACAAAUUUCGAAUAUACUCGUGUUCAAACCCGAGAAAAAUAUUUUCUAGAUUUUUAUAUUAUCAAAGAACACUAAUUUUAAUUGAGCAUUUCAGGAUUUUUGAAGUUGAUCGUUUAAUUUAUC